UCAGCCCAAAAGGCUGAACUGAUUGCCCUAGCAGAGGCGUUAGAAUGGGCUGAAGGGAAAUGGGGGUCUGUUUACACCGAUAGCCACUACGCUUUCGGCACUGUCCAUGUGCAUGGCGCCAUCUACCGGGAGAGGGGCUUUGUUACAGCGGAGGGAAAGGAACUGCGUAAUCUCCCAGAGGUGCAGAGGCGACUGGCGGCAGUGCAAAAGCCCCGGGCAGUUGCAGUUGUUCACCUCCCUGGACACCAGUCUGCCCGGACCUCGGAGGCUGAAGGAAACCGGCGAGCGGAUGAGGCCGCCGAAAAGGCAGCAAUAGCUUCACCAACUUUGGCACUCGCCUUGCCCGCAACUGAGCGCCCACGCUUGCCCCCGUGACCUGACUACACCCCAGAGGAUAUGCAAUGGAUCCAAAACCACCACUGCCCAGAGCCUGAUAGGCAUGGGUGGCAUCGGGAUUCAGAGGGAAUCUACAGGCAAAACUAGGACUGUUCCUGCUUUCCAACCUGCACCAAGCCACCCAUUUAGGAAAGAGAAAACUGCUGACAAUUCUUGAGUCUGCGUGCCUCCGGUUCCCGGGACAAACAACCCAAAUCCAGGAGAUCGUGGAUCAGUGUAUUGGAUGCCAGGCUAUGAAACCCAGUAAGAAGGGACCCCUACAUACAGACCUCAGGGACGCACCGAAUCUCCCGUCUAGUCUAAUGAUGAAGUGGCUGCUGGUCCUGACCCUGCUCAACGACUGGAAAAGGAACCAUGCAGAAACCAAACCUCAUCAGCCUUAUAAGCAGACAUGGAUCCUGACCAAUGGAGAGACUGGUAGGACUCUCAACGAAAUCACCCGCAUGGCCCCACUAGCCACAUGGUGGCCAGACUUAACCUUCUGCUUCAGGGAUAUCAACCCUCAUUACGAGUCCAGGGCACCCAAUUUAGCUCGAAGCUAUGGAUUCUAUGCCUGCCCGGGACACUCUAAGAGCCGAUAAUGUGGGGGCGGGGAGGUCCAGUAUUCCUUCUGUAAGAGUUGGGCCUGUGUCACCUCUAAUGAUGGGGAUUGGAGGUGGGCGGUUUCACGACCAGACUCUCUAAAAUUUGCUUUUGUUAAUUAAGGGAAGCUUAGAGAGGCAGCUGUUCCUCUCCUUCGAGGGCCUUGUUCCCCUAUGACUUAGACAGGAUCCGAGUUCAGUUCACUGACCAGGGAAGACAGGAAGGAGUUAAAAACUGGAUUCAAGGAAAACAGUGGGCAAUAGUGUUCUACAAAUACCGGGGACAUGUGAGAUCCACUAUUUUUGUUAGAUUGAAGGUUGAGGCAGUAGAGAUGGGCAAUACUCCUGUAGGUCCAAAUAGGGUGCUGGCUCCUCCGGCUGGCCAAAAGGCUCCUCCAGCUUCCCCUGCCCCUACCAAGAACCCAGGUUAAAAAAAAAAAAAAUCACAAAGAGGACCAUAAGACCCCAGACUAACACCCCUAUAAUCUCCCCGGCACCUACUACACAGGCCGUUGAAGACUCUGUAUGGAAACUAAUGCUUACUAUGUAUGGGACCCUUAACGCCACCAGCCCUAAUCUCACGGCCUCAUGUUGGAUGUGUUAUGAUGUGAAGCCUCCGUUUUAUGAAGCAAUAGGGCUAAAUGCCACCUAUAAUCUAUUAUCAAAGGAGAGCCCCUCUCAAUGUUCAUGGGGGGACUGUAAAAUCGGUCUAACCCUACAGUGAGUGAGUGGUAACAGAACCCGCCUAGGGAGAGUGUUACAUGUUAAACGAAGUCUUUGCACUUCCAUAGAUAACACCCCUAGUUGGAAAGGUGGCCCAAAGUGGCUAAUCCCAGAAAAUAAUGGAUGGUGGAUAUGUUCAAAGACUGGCCUCACCCCGUGCCUCCUGACCUCGGUCUUUAAUGCCUCUGAGGAGUUCUGUGUCCUGGUGGCUGUGAUGCCCCGCAUCCUCUACCACCCUGAGGAACACAUGUAUUCUCACUGGAGUAAAGGCACAAGUGAGAGAAGUAAAAGAGAGCCCAUCACUGCACUAUUGCUACCUUGUUCAGGUUAGGAGUAGCUGGAGUUGGGACUGGCAUAGCCUCCCUGGUUAUUCAACAACAGGAAUGACCUCUCUGAGGGCGGCCAUAGAUGAGGAUCUAGAAAGAAUAGAGACCUCGAUAAGUCAUUUAGAAAAAUCUCUCACCUCCCUGUCCAAGGUGGUACUCCAAAAUAGAAGAGAGCUUGAUUUGUUGCUCCUCCAACAAGGGGGACUAUGUGCCGCAUUAGGAGAAGAAUGCUGCUUUUAUGCUGACCAAACUGGGGUAGUAAAAGAAUCCAUGGCUAAGGUGAGAGAAGGAUUAGCCAACAGGAAGAAGGAGAGGGAGGCACGGGAGAACUGGUUUGAGGCUUGGUUUAAUAGGACCCCCUGGUUCACCACCUUGGUUUCUACCUUAGUUGGCCCAUUUGUUUUGCUUAUGCUCAUUCUAACUUUUGGCCCUUGCAUUCUGAAUAAGCUUAUUAAUUUUGUAAAAGAUUGUGUUAAUGCCGUCCAGCUCAUGGUUUUAAGACAGCAGGAUGAGAAAUUGCCUGCUCCUGAGGGCCCCUACGACUGCUUUAUCAAUGAGCAGGAUUCCUCAUUAUAAACAACUAAAGGGGGGAAUGUAUGAAUGGGUUGGCAUGAGAACGGCCAUCUUGAAGGCCGGGAAGCCAUUUUACUGAGUUGAGGGAGGAAGGACUAGGGGAAGCUUGAAAAACAAGCUAGAAAUACAAGUUUUGGAAAACAAGUCAAUCCUAAGCACCAGAAUACAGGCGGCUGUGGACUAGAUGCAUUGGUAAAGAGCUUAUCUCACUAAACCACCUGGGGGUGAUGCAAAGGUAAGCUGUCAAGUGUGGCGCCAGGUGUGAAUGGAGCUAUGGACAAUUGCUGUGUGUUAAGUGCUUUGGAAAUGCUAUAUGAGCCCUUGGCUUUGAGUACUUGGGGUCCUUGUUGAAACCCGCUGCACCAGGCAGAUACUUGAACCCCAGCUAGCUGGAAAUAAACGUCCCUGUGUGACUUGCA